rnacentral:rRNA from 1 species
UACGUAGGUGGCUAGCGUUGUCCGGAUUUACUGGGCGUAAAGAGCGCGCAGGCGGUCGUUCAAGUCGAGUGUGAAAGCCCCCGGCUCAACUGGGGAGGGUCACUCGAUACUGAUCGACUUGAAGGCGGGAGAGGAAAGCGGAAUUCCGGGUGUAGCGGUGAAAUGCGUAGAUAUCCGGAGGAACACCAGUGGCGAAGGCGGCUUUCUGGACCGACACUGACGCUGAGGCGCGAAAGCUAGGGGAGCAAACGGG